UUCAUUCGGCUGUCCAGAUGUAUCCAAGUACCCUGUUAUUUGGCAAUAAAUACAUCUGGGCAACUGAUUGAACU
rnacentral:pre_miRNA from 2 species